GGCGACGAAACUAACCCAUCUGAUCACCAGACAGCUCCUGGCAAGUCCGGAGGCUGUCCCGGGAAAGGAUCCCUGGGAUACUGAAGCGCAUCGAGAAGGAAGCAGAUCCCUCCUUGCACUACAUGUUUUAUGGAUACCUGUCAGCAUUCGUGGCUACCGUGGAUGAGGUCAAGGCUGCCAGGGGAGGUGCAUGCGGCGACCAAAGGCGACGGUUUUGUGAUCUGUGUGGACAACCACAAAACCACCAAAGAUUUCGGGCCGGCCCAGAUCUAUAUGAUGGAGGAGGAAUUCGGGUGGAUAGAUAAAUGGAUCGAGCUGUGGGCCCUUUGCCACCCGCAGAACAACCGGGUGCUCAUCACCGCCGGAUUAAGGUUAAGGUUAAGAACCUGGUCCGAUAUUUCCAGACGGCGUGGGUGGAGAUGGGCCUGUCGGGGAGGCCCACCUUCACCGACGUCAGGACGGCGGUGUCGGGACAUGCAAAUUCAUUUUUUCAGUCACUCUCCCCUUGGUGCUUUAUUACAAUAACACUUGGCUGGCUUUGCUAACAAGUACAAACAUUUUGUGCUCCUCUUUUUUACUGUGUCCAGGCCAAAGACCACCAUCGAGAUGAGGUGCGGAACAAAAUUGCCGCAUUUAUGUGUCACAGCACCGGCACAGCAGACCGGUUCUACUCCCUGGCGCUGGACUGCAGGAGGGCCAAGGAGCUGCGCCAGCAAUUUGAGGACAUUGUUGCCCCCUCCUCUACAACCACCACCACACCUGGCCCAUUCUCAGCCGCACCGGUGGACUCGCCCUUGGCCAAAAGAAAGACAAAGAUGAUGGACUCGGAUGAAACCGAGGACGACGACGAGGUGGAGUACCAAGAGUCGGGGGGGCAGCGCCGUGGAGGAAAUGGCUGACCUGCAGGAGGAGGAAGCCUUCACGCUCAUGGUGGAAAGUACUCCAGUGAAGAAAGUGCCGGCCACGAGGCCUCCGUCAGUGAAGCUCAGCCCAAUGGAGAAAAGGGUGACGCUCAUCU